rnacentral:rRNA from 1 species
CCUACGGGCGGCAGCAGUAGGGAAUAUUGCACAAUGGGGGAAACCCUGAUGCAGCGACGCCGCGUGAGUGAAGAAGUAUCUCGGUACGUAAAGCUCUUUCGUCAGAGAAGAUAAUGACGGUACCUGACUAAUAAGCCCCGGCUAACUCCGUGCCAGCAGCCGCGGUAAUACGUAGGGGGCAAGCGUUAUCCGGAUUUACUGGUCGUAAAGGGAGCGUAGGCGGCAGAAUAAGUCUGAAGUGAAAUCCCGUGGCUUAACCACGGAACUGCUUUGGAAACUGUGACGCUGGAGUGCAGGAGAGGUAAGUGGAAGUCCUAGGGUAGCGGUGAAAUGCGUAGAGAUUAGGAGGAACACCGGUUGCGAAGGCGGCUUACUGGAAUGUAACUGACGUUGAGGCUCGAAAGCGUGGGGAGCAAACAGGAUUAGAUACCCUGGUAGUC